rnacentral:rRNA from 1 species
UACGGAGGGUGCUAGCGUUAUUCGGAAUUACUGGGCGUAAAGCGUUCGUAGGCGGCUUUGUAAGUCAGAGGUGAAAGCCCACGACUCAAUCGUGGAACUGCCUUUGAGACUGCUUCGCUUGAAGAUGGGAAAGGUUAGUGGAAUUCCGCGUGUAGAGGUGAAAUUCGUAGAUAUGCGGAGGAACACCAGUGGCGAAGGCGGCUAACUGGACCAUUCUUGACGCUGAGGAACGAAAGCGUGGGGAGCAAACAGG